rnacentral:misc_RNA from 1 species
CCUGGAUCAAACACAGUAAUUGUUCUCAAGUAAGAAAUUAUAUAUGGGGCCACAACCUACAUUUUUUAAGAACACCUAUUGAUACAACUGUUGUAUUCUAAAAUCUCUCCAUGUAAUGAUACAACAAACAAACAUGUACGGUGCAGAGCAACCGUGCUUUAACAUCAUGAGGGAGAGACCUGUUAUCGCAAGCUCUGUAUAACUUCAAGUAUAAUGUACGCAUGCCAACUGGCCAGGUCAGAAUUGCCACAAAAAAAUUCAUCAUUUGUCCAUCAUUCAUCUACAACUCAAUCACCAUGAGCGCUGGUAGUUUUCUUUUCACUCACAACAAAAGGCUAAAAACAUGCAAUACAAUGCAAGUUUAUUAGGGAAGAGGUUUCAGUCAUUAACCCAGUGAUAAUAUAUUUUCCUCAUAGCCAGUGACUGUAACAGCAUUUCGAGAUACAUCAAGAGAAUCAUAUUCUGGAAGCCCACGAAUUUUCACCCUUCGAAGACUGGAUCUUUCUAAAUCAUAAUAAAACACAUAAAAGGGAUUGGAUAAGAAGCAUGGUGCCAGUAGGAUCUCCCCUGUAGCAAUGGUGCCUGCAACCAAAUAGUUUUGAUUCUUUUUCCUCCAAUAAGUGGGGAAGACGAUAUGGUGCAGGAUCCAAAUCUCAUUCCAGUAGUCCUCCAGAAUCCAUAGACUUAACUGGUUCUGGGAAUCCAGUUGAAAAUUAACUAUAGCCAAACGCCCUGCUAACUGGAUCAAACAAGAUGUGUUCACGUCAUUUGGGGCGUCACUGGGGAGUUGGAUCACUCGAAAAGUUUCGUUUUGCACAUCGAAAGCAACCAUAUCUGCAAGGGUCCGGAAAUAUAUGAUCCCAUUCACGCAAAUGCUUUCCCGUCGAGGAGAGUAAGGAGGACCGUCGGGGAGAAGCCGCCAUGAUUGAGUACCCAAUGAGAAAACUCGAUAUUCAGUCUUGCCCGUUUGGUAAUUCCGCCAUGAAUUUAAAACUUUGUACUGCUUAGAAACUGGGUCGAACCCUAAUGAGUUAACGCAAUAGUAGGUAGAAGAAGCAGCCUUUGAUGUCUUUGAACAAACAAGUGGUAGAGUAAUCGCCUGCCUAGUACUGGGAUUGCAAAGGGUAGCGCAAAGGCCAAAAUCCAUACAAACUAUGCCAUUAAUUGACUGGGUAGUGUAGCGAGAGUACCGAGGAGGGACCGUCAGGCAGUGAGUAGCGGGGCCACCGUUGAGGUUGGCGGAGAAGAAGGUCUGGGCUGAUUGAAGCUGAGUAGGACAGGUGAUGAGAAGGCCCGGUUUCGGCCGGGGAUAAGGUUGAUGAGCAGCGGCGAAAGAUGGGUCGGCAACGAUGGUGGAGCAGAGCUUGUUAACGCACCGGAAUCGCACCAGGGAUUUCACGGGAAGCCUUGAAAAUAUGUCGAAGAUGAGAUCGGGACAGAUUUUGGUUAUGGGUGUGGGAUUUGAGUUUCUUACAAUUGUAUGCUUUCUUCUUUUGGCGGAUCUCUGUUGCGCGGAGCACUUGAAGGGUUUGGAUUCCAUUUCUGAAACUUAGAAUUGGGUUUGAGAAGAAGAGAUUGGAUCCAGAGGAAUUAAUGGGUUAAUUCUGUUCUUAUCGUUUCUAUGGAAUUGGAAGAACCAAAUCUGAUGAAUUCAGUUCUUGAGCACCCGCCGGCGGCG